rnacentral:rRNA from 1 species
AAUUUUGGACAAUGGGGGAAACCCUGAUCCAGCCAUCCCGCGUGUAUGAUGAAGGCCUUCGGGUUGUAAAGUACUUUUGGCAGAGAAGAAAAGGUAUUCCCUAAUACGGGAUACUGCUGUCGGUAUCUGCCGAAUAAGCACCGGCUAACUACGUGCCAGCAGCCGCGGUAAUACGUAGGGUGCAAGCGUUAAUCGGAAUUACUGGGCGUAAAGCGUGUGUAGGCGGUUCGGAAAAAAAGAUGUGAAAACCCAGGGCUCAACCUUGGAAAUGGAAUUUUAACUGGGGAGGUAGAGUAUGUCAGAAGGGGGUAGAAUUCCACGUGUAGCAGUGAAAUGCGUAGAUAUGUGGGGGAAUACCGAUGGCGAAGGCAGCCCCCUGGGAUAAUACUGACGCUCAGACACGGAAGCGUGGGGAACAAACAGG